rnacentral:lncRNA from 1 species
UAUAAAGCAUAACUAUGACAGUGCGGCAAUCUGUGUUCUAAAAGAAUGACUCUGGCAGUAGUGUGGAGGGUGGACUGGAAGGAGUAUUUGCUGAAGCUGCUAUUCUCUGAGCUGCCUCAUGGAAGGGCCCAACUGGCAAGCAACUGAGACAAGCAAUCGUCAGAGAAGAAUGGAUGUACCCCAUCCAAAGUCCUGCAAUGAACUUGAAUGAUCCUGCAAUCUCAGAAUUGAAAGAAUCCUAUCAAAAACAAAGAACUUAUGAGCACAUACUGUACAGUAGAACUUGAGAUGACUGCAGCUCUUGUCUGCACCUUGAAGAUUUGCAAGAGUCCCUGAACUGGAAGACCGCACUAAGCUAUGCUCAGUUUCCUAACCCACUGUAACUG